AUGACUCUGAUCUGCGUCCUCAUCUGGACUCUCCUCUGCUGCUGCUUCACAGAGUCCAGAGGUCAGGUCACAGUGACUCAGCCUGGAUCAGUGACUUCUGCUCUGGGAGGCUCCGUCACCAUCACAUGUAAAACCAGUCAAGAUGCUUACUAUGAUGGCUCUGACUACUUGUUAGCCUGGUACCAACAGAGAAAUGGAGGAAUUCCUAAACUGCUCUUUUAUUAUGUUGGUAGUCGAGUAUCAGGAACACCAAGUCGUUUUACAGAUGGUGGAUCAAACUCUGACUUCACUCUGACCAUCAGUGGAGUUCAGACUGAAGAUGCAGCAGUUUAUUACUGUCAGAGUUAUCACAGGAUCAACAGUCAGAGGUCGUUCACACAGUGA